rnacentral:rRNA from 1 species
UGCAGUCGAACGGUAACAGGAAGCAGCUUGCUGCUUCGCUGACGAGUGGCGGACGGGUGAGUAAUGUCUGGGAAACUGCCUGAUGGAGGGGGAUAACUACUGGAAACGGUAGCUAAUACCGCAUAACGUCGCAAGACCAAAGAGGGGGACCUUCGGGCCUCUUGCCAUCGGAUGUGCCCAGAUGGGAUUAGCUAGUAGGUGGGGUAACGGCUCACCUAGGCGACGAUCCCUAGCUGGUCUGAGAGGAUGACCAGCCACACUGGAACUGAGACACGGUCCAGACUCCUACGGGAGGCAGCAGUGGGGAAUAUUGCACAAUGGGCGCAAGCCUGAUGCAGCCAUGCCGCGUGUAUGAAGAAGGCCUUCGGGUUGUAAAGUACUUUCAGCGGGGAGGAAGGYGUUGAGGUUAAUAACCUCAGCRAUUGACGUUACCCGCAGAAGAAGCACCGGCUAACUCCGUGCCAGCAGCCGCGGUAAUACGGAGGGUGCAAGCGUUAAUCGGAAUUACUGGGCGUAAAGCGCACGCAGGCGGUCUGUCAAGUCGGAUGUGAAAUCCCCGGGCUCAACCUGGGAACUGCAUUCGAAACUGGCAGGCUAGAGUCUUGUAGAGGGGGGUAGAAUUCCAGGUGUAGCGGUGAAAUGCGUAGAGAUCUGGAGGAAUACCGGUGGCGAAGGCGGCCCCCCUGGACAAAGACUGACGCUCAGGUGCGAAAGCGUGGGGAGCAAACAGGGAUUAGAUA